AGCUGAACGUUAUAGUGGACACUUUCCCUUCUUUACUGCCACGGAGCACAGCCCCAACCCCAGCCAUUGUUCUCCAUCAGCGAGAUUCCUGAGAGCUCUCUAAAGAUCAUCUCGACAACUUCGCUACAGGGGAAGGCUUCCUUUGGCGCAAGGUUUGGUGUGGCUUUCCGAGUGCUGUAUAUAUAGCCUGAGAACCAUGGCAUGCUUCAAAAGAGUCGAUGUUCAACGGAUCGAUCUGGCUAGGGAACGUAAGAAGGAGGACGGACUAGGAUGGGGUGUGUAAGGAUCAGAGAUUCGUCGACUGAAAGGUGGGGACGAAUUAACCCAGUCAAAGAUUUACUGAAGAACCAAAGGAAGAAUGUGCACAGAAGGAAAACAUACAAAGGAAACAAGAAAGAAACUCGAUGAUGUUGACGAGACGCAAGCAGACUCCAUGGUCGGUGGAAAGUAAGUAGAAGAAAUCUAGAACUGGAACUGUUUGACAUGUCCUUUUACGUAGCACAUGCCUGAAAGGAUCCUGCUUUGUCCUGCGGAUGUUGUUGUUUCAUCAAUGAAGCAUGCUCGAUGAGUCAUUGGGACCCCAUUCCAUGCUGGAUAGAAUGGACUGGACAUGCAAUUUAUCUGAUAAAGAAGGAAGAAUUAGAGUGGAGUUUGGAUGAGAAGUGAUUGUGAACUAAAUUGAUUGGUGGAUGCACACCAGUCUCUGAAUCUUAGGGAAGAAACACAACUUAGAGGGCAACAUACCAGCUCUGGUGGUCUUCCUCCAUCCUCAUUGACACCAAAGAGGUUACUUAGUAUUAGUUCCCUUAAAAUCUCUCCCUGCUUAGUCUAUGACCUUCAGUUCAACCUCUUCAUGCAAUCACACCUUCCUGUCUAUUGUUAAGUCUCAGCGCUGCAUUAGGCAGCAGCACAAUGCAGAUCACCAAGUACCAUUAAUGCAUGCAACGAAACAGGGGCUUCCAUACUUUCCGGCCUUGGCCUGCGGCGAGUAGAGCUCCAGGGAGAUGUCUUCUGACAAGUUGCGACUCCGGUGGCUCUUGUGAUCUCCCUUGAAGCUUCCAAGCUUGAUCGGUGGUGGUCGCAUGAUCUUGAAGCUGUUAUUUCUGCUGAACCAAUGAGUGGCACUUGAAGGGGAUGAAUUUCAAGCACUGGUGUCUCCUCCUUGAUCUCCUGAUUGCUUUGUAGAUGCAUGUGAUCAGUCCUUCCAUUGUCGACAAUGGUUGGAAGCUUCAGGCUCUGGUGCAUGUGUAGGCAAUGAACCUUCUGCAAUGGCUUUCUCAGACAAGUGAAGACCUUGACGAGUUUAUUCUUCUUAGUAAUUCUUAAUUAUUAUGGACAAGUCAUAGAUCUUGUCUCAGAUUGUAAUUUGUGUUUCUCUGUAAAUUAUGUAUGAGGCUAAUCAAGAUUUGUGAUGAUGACAAAGUUGACAUUUGUGAUUUCUUACAA